rnacentral:rRNA from 1 species
ACGCUCGACACCUACGGGAGGCAGCAGUGGGGAAUAUUGCACAAUGGGGGAAACCCUGAUGCAGCGACGCCGCGUGAGCGAAGAAGUAUUUCGGUAUGUAAAGCUCUAUCAGCAGGGAAGAAAAUGACGGUACCUGACUAAGAAGCCCCGGCUAACUACGUGCCAGCAGCCACGGUAAUCUGAGCGGGCUGGCAAGGC